GUGUCUCUCCUGGGAUUUAUAGGCAGCCCCUGUAUGUGCCCAAAACCAAGAAUUUCAUCACUUUCGCCGGUUUGAACCCUGAGACUACUAUUCUCACUUGGGACAAUACUGCCACCCAAAUUAACCACCACCAAGCUUCUCGUGUCAUUGGAACUGGGACUUUUGGUUGUGGGAGUACAAUUGUUGAAGGAGAGGAUUUUAUUGCUGAG
rnacentral:misc_RNA from 1 species